AACGAACGCUGGCGGCAGCCUCUCACACAUGCAAGUCGAGCGCGCCUUCGGGUGAGCGGCGGACGGGUUAGUAACGCGUGGGAACGUGCCCUUCUCUACGGAAUAGCCUCUGGAAACGGAGAGUAAUACCGUAUACGCCCUUUGGGGGAAAGAUUUAUCGGAGAAGGAUCGGCCCGCGUUAGAUUAGGUAGUUGGUGGGGUAACGGCCUACCAAGCCUACGAUCUAUAGCUGGUUUUAGAGGAUGAUCAGCAACACUGGGACUGAGACACGGCCCAGACUCCUACGGGAGGCAGCAGUGGGGAAUCUUAGACAAUGGGGGCAACCCUGAUCUAGCCAUGCCGCGUGAGUGAUGAAGGCCUUAGGGUCGUAAAGCUCUUUCGCCUGUGAUGAUAAUGACAGUAGCAGGUAAAGAAACCCCGGCUAACUCCGUG
rnacentral:rRNA from 1 species